GGUCAGAGGUCACAGUGGGAGGUCGCCGGUCAGGGGUCACCAGGGGUCACUCAGCCCCAAGUCCCGGCACCCAGAGGCGGCUGCUGUGCAGGUCCCGCUUGGCGCCGGGGCGGGGUCUGCUGCCCCGGGACCCACACGUGUGCCUGUCCCUGACCUCCCCCGCUGCGGCCCCCUCGGCCCUGGGUUCCUCCUCCAUGGAGCUGAAGAUCCCAGGGACGGGCCCCAGCGCUGCUGCCGCCAUCGCACCAAACAGCGGCCCCGUAACCAUAGAAACUCACUCACGCUUCCGCCGAAAACCGGAGGUGGGAGCCGUAGCGGCCGGUACGGCGGGGCGGCCGGGGGGUCGCUCAGAAGGCUUUGGGGCGACUGGCCUGAGGUUGGGGAUGUCCCUGGGGCCGUGGUUCGGGGCGGUCCGGGCGGCGUUUGGGGCCUCCGGGCUCCUCCCCGCUUCCUCCCCUCUUCCUCCCGUUCCUGCCCCCACCCAGGCUAUGGCCGCCCCCGCGGACGCGUCGCUGCUGUCGGCCGAGCUGGUCGCGGACGACGGGGAGGAGGAGGCGCUGCGGCGGCUUCUGCUGCAGGUAACACAGGACGACGAGGAGCCGCCCCCACCCACCGACCCUUCUCGCGCUGUCACCCCCGCAGCCAGGUGCCCUGCCCCUUCCCAGUAUGUGGAGGUGGCAGAACACUUGUCCCAACACCCAGGAGUGCUGCUGCCACAGGCCGCAGGUGCAGAGUUGCUGUGGCUGGGGCUGAGUGAGGAACAGCUGGUGCUGAAGGGGGAGGGGGGCGGCUCCGUGCUGGAGCUGCCCCAACCCCGCCCAGUGCCCUGCCCACUUCCACCGUGGAACCAAGGUCCUCACUGUGACGAUGUCCCUGCAGGCCUGAGUGGGUGGACACCUGUGUCCCCCCCACCCCCAUUGCCUUUUUCCUACAAAAACUUGCAAUAAAAGACUCCUGGGGUGGCAGCAGGAAGAUGCAGAGGGACCGGACUUGAGCUCAGGCGGUGCCUGAGGGGGGCAGGUUGGGACCCCCCACAUCCCCCUUGCUGGACUGCACCUGCUAUGGUCUCUUCAACACUACAGCAUCAGCUUCUGCAUCAGCUGUGGUAUCCACUGCAACCUGGGGAUGACCAUGGUCAGCAGGGGCAGGCACGGAGAGGGCAUGCAGUUCAACUGAGACUCUGAAACAGCGGGGAUAAUCCACGGCUCCUUCUGGGGCUACAUCAUCACCCAGAUCCCAGGGGGAUUCAUCGGCCAGAAAUUCACCACCAACAGGUUGGAGGGGAACAGCAUGUAGUGUGUGAGAGGCAGCACCCCCAGCACUUACAGCUGGACCCAUCGCGUGUAUUCCCUUCCCCCUUGCACAUGCCACAUUGCACAAGGAUGCCUUGCACGUAUUCCCCCCCAGUUUCAACGCCCCCCCAGCUGACCCCAACCCUCCCUGGUGAGGGUCAGGGGUCAGAGGUAAUGGUCAGGGCGGUCCUGGAGGGCAUUUGCUGCAGGGUCAAACUGGGGCCAGGGAUCGAGUCAGGAUCAGGGCUGGGUCUAGGGUCAGAGGUGGCUUGGGGCUCGGAGGUCAGAGUUGGGUUGUGGUCAGACCACCAGGUGUGGGGUCAGGGCUGGAUGUCAUGUCCCUGGUUGGGAAGGGCAUGUCAAGGGUCAAGAGGUCACCAUCAGCCCUGCCCUGCCCCUCCCCCUGCAGCUGGCCAUGCCCUGGCACCAGUUCUUCACCUCCAAACCACGCUAUGCCAUCAUCGUUGUGAAAUUCUGACACAGCUGGACCCUCUACCUGCUGCUCAUCUGUCAGCCCACCUGCUUCAAGGAGUUGUUCAGCUUGAACAUCAGCAAGGUGAGCCAUGCUCUGCCUUGGCCUGCCCUGCUGCACCCCUUCACGCCCAGGCCCUGCUUGGGGCUCACAGCCCCAUCCCCUGCAGGUGGGGGGAUGGAAUUACAAGGAAUGUCAACAGCCUUUAGAAAAAUUACAAAUGAAAGCCAGAUGCACUAGAGGAUUUCCAUUAGAUCAAAGAAAUAAUAUAUUCCAAGAAAGCAGUUACAAAAUUAAAUAUUUUCAAUAUGUGUGGCAACUACAGUAGACUCAACCUGUUCAUCACUGACCUGGAUGAAGAGACUGAGUGCACGCUCAGCAAGUUUGCUCAUGAUACCAAACUGGGAGGAAGGGUUGAUACACUGUGCUGCCAUCCAACAAGACCUGGACAGGCUGGAGGACUGGGCAGAGAAGAAUCUGAUUAAUUUCAACAAGGGCAAGUGUAAGGUCCUGCACAUGGGGAGGAAUAAUGCCAAGCACCAGUGCAGGUUAGGGGUGGACCUGCUGGAAAGCAGCUCUGCAGAGAAGGACUUUGGAGUUCUGGUUGACAACAGAUUGACCAUGAGUCAACAAUGUGCCCUUGUGGCCAAGAAGGCCAAGGGUAUCCUGGGGUGCAUUAGGAAAAGUGUGACCCGCAGGUCAAGGGAGGUUCUUCUCCCCCUCUACACUGCCCUGGUGAGGCUGCAUCUGGAGUACUGUGUUCAGUUUUGGGCUCCCCAGUUUAAGAAGGACAAGGAAUUGCUGGGGGGAGUCCAGUGAUGGGCUACAAAGAUGAUGAGAGGUCUGGAGCACCUUUCUGAUGAGGAGAGACUGAGAGAGCUGGGCCUGUUCAAUCUGGAGAAGAGAAGGCUGAGGGGGGGUCUUGUCAAUGUUUAUAAAUAUCUCAAAGGUGGGUGUCAAGAGGAUGGGACCAGACUUCAGUGGUGCUCAGAGAUAGGAUGAGGGUCAAAGGGCACAGACUGAAGCACAGGAGGUUCCAUCUAAACAUGAGGAGAAACUUCUUUACUUUGAGGAUGACAGACACUGGAACAGGCUGCCCAGAGAGGCUGUGAAGACUCCUUUUCUGGAGACAUUCAAGACCCACCUGGUCGCAUUCCUGUGCAAUUGACUCCAGGUGUACUUGCUUUAGCAGGUGGGUUAGACUAGAUAAUCUCCUUCCAACCCAAACCAUUUUGUGAUUCUGUGACCUCUCUCUAUUUUCUCCUCAUCAUUUAAUGAACUCUUCCUAGAAUAUCAUAGGAGUAACUGUAAUUUGGGAGUUGUUGGACACCACCAUUGCUGAGGCAUGCAGGAGUCUCAUGCUUGGUCUGAUACAGCUUUUAUACCACUUUAUGGUUUUAAAAAGUCCUUAUCAUGAUAAGAGAAAGAGCAUACCUCUGGGACACCGAACUCAAAGAUUUCCCACAUGAAUACACAAAUCCAGCCCAUAGAGUUAUUACAUGAACAGGCCAGAAGCAUCCUCUAAUUCUAAUCUUGUUCCCUUCACUUAAAGCACUUUUGAAUACGAACAUUCAGAAUAACAUUCAGAGUAACAUUCAGCUGUGACUGACACCUACAAAACAUUCCCAUUACCUGGAAGCACCCGUUAAGGAUUCCUGGAUCUGACUGGGUUACAUCACCAAAGCGUUCAGCUCUUUAAGUGCAGCAAAUCGUUUUUUAAUCUCAUCACUGCAGGCAACCUCUUUCCUUCCUUCUCUCCUUCUCCCAAUAAAAUCCUCUCCAGUCUCUGGCAAAUAAUUCCAUCUUGUAUUGACUUUGAAGAGAAAUCCCCUGGUGAAACACAGAAAAAAUUUCCACCCCUACAAGUAUGAAAGUAAACAAGCACAAGCGUAAAGAAUUUUUGAAGUGUUCUCACUCAGUGCAUGAUUUCUCAGAGGAUCACAAACCAGCACAGAGGAGGUUAGAGAUUUAUCAUUCCCAUCUUUCAGUCAGAAGCUGCUAUUAGAGGCUAACACACAGUUUUUAAGUUUACUGAACUUUAAAAUCCUCCCAGUGAGACUUUUCAGAAAUGUUAGAGUCUGUAUGUGACUUGAAGAUGAGCUUCUUAACCUGACUGUAACUUUAAAUUAAGAUGUUAGUCACUACAUAAAGCAGCAGGGGUUUUAACAAUGCAAAACAAGGCAAGAGACAUAACAAGAGAAAGAUUCUAUAAAAACUGUCAAGAGAGUCAGGAGCCAGUAGCUCUCGCUCCUGGUGAGCACUACAUCUCCAGCAGUUCAGCCAGUCCUAACUUUUGGUCAGUGUUGCACCAAACUGGUGGUUUUCAGACUACAGUGGCCUGCAUGGGCCAGAGACCACUGUGGUGGUGAAAACUGGAUGUCUUGCACAAAAUGUUUGGACAAAAUUUGGCUGUGAGGCAACAGAGCUGAGUAACCAGUCUGCUCAGGCUAGUGACUGGCAUGCAUCAGCACAAAGAAGCAGCAGACCCAGGGGUUUCUUCCUUGCUCCAGUCCUGGCUACCAGCAAGUGGCCAGACAGAAAUCUCAGUUUUCUCAAGCUUCUGCUCAACCCAGCAGAAAAUGGGCUCUCUCUCCUUGUCUGUUGUCUGCAAAGAUAUCUCUGGUUGUUGGAUUUCACAACAGGGAUGAAAUGACACAUUCAAAACUGCUGACACAUAUUGCAAUUAUUUGGGGGGGCACAAGAGAAAUAUUCUUUUAAUAACCAAAGCCCAAUAGAGCCAUCAAAGCUGACUGAGAUUAACCACAGGAGGCUUUAACAUAGUUCACUGGAUGGCUCUUUGCAGAUUAUUUUGCCAGGCCCUUUUCCUAGCUUUUAGCAUUUGAUUUCCUGCUUCUCAGCCUCCAGCCUGUCCAUAGAGAGGGCAAGCAGGAGCAUUCUUUAUGCUGCUGCUCAACACUAGCCAAAUAAUUCUAUUUAAACAGUGUGUAUUGCUUGGUCUUUUCAUAACUAAGCCUUUCUCCUGCUAUAGAGCCCAGCCCUGUACUUAGUUCAAAGCUUAGCAGUGCUAUAUGUUUCAAGACUCCAAGCUAUGAUUCAUCUUGGAAGCUUCUUUAUCCUGCAGAAUCUUAAAGAUACACAGCACAGUCAGGGGUUUUAAUUUUUUUCCUGUAUUGUCAAGCUGAUUAAGUAGAUAUCAAAAGUUGGCCCUGGACCUUCAGAUGGCUGAAGGACAGUAGCAGGUUCUUGCCCUCCUGGGUAGGUACUAGGUCCUACCAUAUAAUGCCUGUUUGUUGAUAAAUACCCGGUAACUUAUUUCUCCUGCACCUUACAUUCGUCACCUGUAGUGUAAGACUCAAUUUUUUUCACCUUUCAGCAGUGCUGGAAUAUUGUUGCUAUCUGUAAACUUCUCUGACAGUCUUGAAUGGAAGAUGCUAUAGAAGAGUGACAAAGAAGUUAGAAGAGGAAAAUUCUCUGAAGAGAAGUCUCACUUCACUUGACAACACUACAGCGAUGAUGAGUUUUUCUGCCUUGCAGAAAAACAUUUAAAUAUUUUCCAUAGCAGAAUGCAUUGACGUGUGUGAACACUCAAAAGAGAGGAAAUCCUUUUUAACUACAUAUGUCUUUUGAUUAGUUAGCACUCCUUUAAUGUUGAUAUUAAAAGCUUUGAAGAACAAGUGUCUCCAGACAGACUACAUAGUUUGAAAAGCAAUGGCAAAGGACUCGGUGAUUUCUGAAGACACGUGAACAAAGACAGGAGAAUGAGCAAGGGAAGGAUUUUAUUAGGUAUGCAUGCAUCAAAUGUGGCAGUUCACCACUCUAAUUUUGUUAAUAGGACUAACGUACUUCAGCCUUCCAGCUGUAUUUACAACUAACAAAACAUGAUGCUCAUUCUCAAGAUGUGCAUGCCCUUUCCCUGUGAGCUGCAGGAUGACAGAUCCCACAAAGCAACACAAAAGAGCAGCAGGACACUGCUCUGGGGCCACCAGCACGGAACUGGCUGCCAGGUCCUUCGGCCCAUGUGGGCAUUUCCUGAUUUCUGGGUGUCCCUCUUACAGGUUUCACUACUUUGGCAGAGAAAUUCAUCCACAGGAGCAGCAUAGACUGGCAGAAAUGCUCAAUAACUACCUCGCUGACAUUACGGAGGGUAAGAGCCAUGCUGUAGAGCUGUUUGCCAUCAGGCUGUGAGGCUGCUCGUGGAGAGCGGAGGGGCAGCCCGGUCCUGCCUCCCUGUAAGGGCUGGGGCUUUUUGUGGCCUGGAGGAAUAGCGAGAGCAGACAGGGUCUCCAGGUGAGUCCUAGAAUCACAGAAUUGUAGAAUCAAUUUGGCUGGAAGAGACCUUUAAGAUCAUCAAGUCCAACCAUUAAAACUGGCACUAAAACAUGUCCCUGAGAACCUCGUCUACACGACUUUUAGACACCUCCAGGGCUGCUGACACAACCAUUUGCCUGGGCAGCCUAUUCCAAUGCCUGACAACCCUUUCUGUGAAGAAAUUUUUUCUAAUAUCAAAUCUGAACCUCCCCUGCUGCAACUUGAGGCCAUUUCUAUUCAUCCUUCUACCUUGGAGAAGAGACCAACACCCUCCAUACUACAACCUCCUUUCAGGUAGCUGUAGUGAGCCCAAACUAUUGGGAACUGUGGGAGGGAAGAUAUCCCUUGAACAAAGGCAAAGCCUGGAUGUCCUUCAAAGUUUAUUAAGAAAGCAAAAUCAGGACAUACCAGGAGUCCAAUUAGUUACUUUAUUUGAAUGGAUUGCUAAUCAUUUGCUGGACUUUCCUACAACUGGUACAUUUCAGUUGGAGGCACGGCGCAAAGUUGGACAAGAACUAUUUGAACUGGCAGCAACUGGAGAUAAUCCUGUUUGUGAACAUUUAUCUACUUGGGGGAAAAUCAUGACUACUUUAAAAUCAGCUCAGAAGGAAGUAGUUGUGCAGGUCGCAACUAACUGUGAGCUUUCUGCUCUUCCUUUGCCAGGAAAAGAGGGGGAUCCUGUAACUAUAUUGGGCAAAAAUGCACUAACCACAGAUGCAGUAGCUUAGAAAGGGCUGGCUGAAAACAAAGCCCCCGCAUGUACGCUACAGUGAACGCUUUUGACAAAAGGGGGUUUGUGGGAGUUGCCCAUCAAUCCUCUUGAUCCUGACCUGAAGCAAGAUCCUGAUUUAUUCUCCCCGGAUGAUGCUUUGCAACCAAAAGUGCACACUAAUUUAACCAUGUGGGAUAGAUGCAGAGAAGAGACUUUGAAAGCAGGAGACUGGAAAGUGGUUACAGCAUGCCCUGUGGCCUAUCGUGAACAGCAAACUCUAGGCUUUCAACAGCUACCAUAUGAUGUUGUAAAGGAAUUAUGGACAUUAGCUAAAGAAAAUUGAGUUACUUCAUCAUUUAUUAUAAAUUCUUUUUGAAGUGUUAAGCUCCUCCUACGUACUUACUGCACAACUGGCAUUCUUUGUUGAAAAUGAUCUUAACCACUACUCAAUAUACUGUAUGGCUAUCUGAUUUUCUGGAGAACUGUACUACAGAGACUAUUGAUAAUUCAUACCAUCAAAGAGGGAUUAAUUGGAGUCAUUUAGCUGGGGAAGGUGCCCAUAUUUUGCCAGAGAAUCAAGUUGCAUAUCCCAGAGAUAUAUAUGGUGUAAUAGGAAAACUAGCAAUGAAAGCGGUUUGGAAGUUACUGGAGGUUGGGAGAGAUGCCAAUACAUCCUUCUCAAAAAUCUUGCAAGGAUCACAAGAACCUUAUGCGCAGCUUUUAGACCGCUUGCAAAGUGCUUUGGAGCAGCAAAUUGAUAACAACACAGCUAGUGGGUUGUUACUAAAACAAUUGGCUUUUGAGAGUGCUAAUGCUGAUUGUCAAAAAGUGAGAUUGAGAUGUUUUGUUGUGGAGCCCUGGGUCAUGUAAAGAAAGAUUGUGCGAAAUAUGCAUACCAGACUUCAAAGGCUGUAUCUCCGAGAGAUUGUCCAAAAUACGGAAAAGGCAGGCACUGGACAUAUGAAUGACAUUCAAGGGUUAAUGUAAAAGGGGAGCCAAGCUCCUCUCCUCCACCUGUCUGAUCUGCUCCAUCCUCUCCCUACAGCCAGUGCUCCUGGCCGUGCUCCUGGCGGCGCUUUGGCUGCUGUCCGCAUGCUGGGCUGCUUCACUGUGCACUACACGCACAGACACUCUUAUUUCCCCUUCUGAUCCGGCAAGGAAAACCAACACCAUUUUUCACUUUCGUGCUAGCAGUUCUGUUCUGUGUUUACAAUGGAUACACACAAGGCCGAAGCUUAAGCAGCCACGCAAAGUACCCUCAGGCUGGUUAAAAACCCACGUUUCAUUAGAGGUUUAAUAGGGUGGCUGGUUGGCAUGGCAAUCAAUCUUCAUUCUGAUCAUAUUCUCAUAAAUCUGAGAAAACCCAUGCAAACUGGUUACAAGAUAGCCAAAGUGCGUAUCUGAAUACCUGAUGCUAUUGAACAAAAACAAGGAUGGUGACGCAAUUUGCAACUGCCUAUUUGGCUGGUGUUCAUAACCAGUAAAUUCCAACCAUUUGCAGCACUGUUUCAAUGGAGCAAAUCAUUAAGUGGUUCUGUAAGAGUGUUGGAGUGGGUUUUUCUAGCUCACACACCCAUGAAAACAGUUUGGACAAUUAAUGAAAUGUAUGCAAAACUAAUAAUUAAAGGCAGAGAACGUUUAUGUGCUAUGGACAGGACAGACCCUGAAUGUGUAAUUAUUCCUACAACAAAAGAGAAUUUGCAAUGGUUAUUAACUGAAGAUGUGAAUUUCCAAAUUGCGUUAGCUACAUACACAGGGAACAUAUCAGUUCAUUACCCUCAACAUAGACUGUGAGCUGAAAUUGGUAAUUUAUCAUUGUACAGCAAACGCCACUGUAAGCAAUGACAGGUAAGAGGCAAGACUGUUUUCACUCAUGUAUCUGGUCACUCCUGCAAAGCUGUAAUUACGUGGCUAAACUCAGAUAUGCAGUGUUGGAAACACAACGUAGAAAAAAAGAGAUCAAGAGUCAAUACAAUUUCUUGAACUAACAGCUGUUAAGAUUGCUUUUGAGGUGUUCUGUAAUGAACCUUUGAACGUUGUAACCGAUUCAUACUAUGCAGCUGGCAUAACUAACUGCUUAGAAGGUUCUUUUCUUAAGGAAGUAGAUAAUCCUCUUUUGAUGGCUGAAUUGAGAACGUUGUAGUUUCUAAUAAAUCAUAGACAUCAUGAUUUUUAUGCAACGCACAUAUGCUCUCACACUGCCCUUCCAGGACCUCUUGCGGAAGGGAAUAGGAGGGCUGAUGCACUAGCCAUACCUCUUAUUGUGCCUAAAGCCUUUGAGCAAGCUAAAUUAUCACGUGAAUUUUUUCACCAGAAUGCAAGGUCAUUAAAAUGACAAUUUUAAAUUACAGUGGAUCAGGCCGGGAGCAUUCUUAUGUCCUGCCCUGAUUGUCAACUAUUCACACCUAUGCCGUCCAAAGAGGGUGUUAAUCCAUGAGGGAUUACUGCUAAUGGAGUAUGGCAAACUGAUGUAACGCGUUAUUCUGAAUUUGGUAAACUCAAAUAUGUACAUGUUUCUGUAGACACUCAUUCCAGAUUUCUUGUUGCUACUGCACACACUGGUGAAAGAGCACGUGAUGUCUGUAAACAUUGGUUAACAUGUUUUACUGGUUUAGGAGUUCCACGAUGUGUAAAAUCAGAAAAUGGUACAGCCUACUGCUCCAGCAAAGUUUGCUUCUUUUUAGAUGAAUGGAGCAUUUCCCACAUUACAGGAAUACCUCACUCGCCAACAGAACAAGCUAUAGUAGAAUGAACUCAUAGAGACCUUGAAGCUGUACUAAUUAAACAAAAGAGGGGGAGCCUGGCCUCUCACCUCAGGAGCACUUACAGAAAGCUUCUUACGUUCUGAAUUUUUUGAAUUGUAACGAUACUGGGCGAGGUAGUUACAAGCAGCAACAAUGUGUCAGCAUACUAGAACAGCAAUGGCCUCUGGUGAUGGUAACGGCUCCUGUGCCUAAGGAAUGGUCAGGACCUGUUGAUCUAAUAAUAACCUGGAAAAGACGCUAUGCUUGUGUCUCUGCAGGUUCUCAAGUGAAAUGGAUUCUGUCAGGAUGUGUAUGACCUUAUGUUGCCUCCUCACUGGAGUCUUCAGGUGGCCCCUCAACAGAGGACUGAUUCAGCAUGAAACGUACGGCUUACCUUAGCUAACUUAACCUGUACAACUACUCCCUGUGCGUUUCUUUGUCCACACCAACAGAUCCUUUUCGUACAUGUUCAGUAGGAGUGCCAAUAACAAAAUUAUGUUUAAGGACCUUAUAUAAUGAAACUGUUAGAAGCAAUUGCACCAAGACAGGAGUUAUGCAGCCAUGGUGGUGGUGUCGGAAUACUUGGAGGCAGACUGCUGGGGAAAAGACUACAUGGUACCAUCAUAAAUCCCACAAGUUCAAUGAUUUUCUUGCAUUGGCUCUUGAACCACAGGAGCCUUACAGGCACCUAUUUGCUUUUAUCUAAAUUUCACAACCUGUCAGUAUCUAAAUAGUUUAGGGUUUGAUGUGUCCCCUACAGGGAUAUAUGUCAAUCACCCCCUGUGGUGUAUUACCACAAAUGUUGAUCAAAUCACUACUGGAACAGAUUCCACAGGUUUACCUGAGGAUUUCGUUUUGAUCUGUGGGCAACGAGCAUGGAAGGGCAUGCCGGAAAGAGAGGUAGGAGGGCCUUGUGCCUUCGAACAACCAACAUUCUUUCACCCUGACAUUGUACCACACAAUAAAGCCAUACGACAAAAACGAGACAUACAUCAGUUCUCAGAUUCCUGUAACUCUAACACAGAAUUUUGGGAGAGUUUUAGCAAGCCUUUUUUUCAUCUGUAGGAACUGCACAAGAACUUGUAACUUUAAACAGGCUAGGCUGCUGGCUUGCAAAAGAAGCUAACGCUAUGAGCCUAGCCCUGAAUGGUGUUUUAACAGAUGUUGAUGCUGUAAGACAUGGUUCGCUACGAAACAAAGCAAUCAUUGAUUUAUUUUUGUUAGCUCAAGGUCAUGGUUGUCAGGACUUCGAAGGAAUGUGUUGCAUGAAUCUCAGUGAUCAAUCAGAAUCCAUUCAUGCCAGCAUAACUAAAUCAAAGGAAUUAAAAAAGCAAUUGCAAAACCAAGAUGACGGUGAUUUCUGGAGUCUGUUCUCUUGGCUGGGGGGGCUAGGGCCAUGAGCAGAGUGACUAAUAAUGCUUGCAAUGUUUAUAUGUGGAGUCUUGUUACUUAUUCUGAUUUGUAUACCAUGUGUCUUGUGUACAACGAAUGAUCGAAAAAUGCUUUAAUCGUGUAAUGGCUAGGCAGUUACAUGCUGCUAUGGCUAUGGAAUUAUUAAACAAAAAGGGGGGAGAUGUGUCAGUAUUCUGACAUUGGGCCUGUGAGAAACCACAAGAGUCGACAGCAUGAGAACAAGCAUUGGUGGAAAAACACAAGAAGCAAGGACCGACAGCAUGAGAACAAGCAUUGGUGGAAAAACACAAGAAGCAAGGACUAUGUACUACUUGAUACAUCAAGAACAGAGGAAUUGAUACAGGAUUGAUACAUCAAGGACAGGAGUUAACUUGUGGUGAACCAAAAAAAAGCAUUUAUGGCAGUAGCUUUGGUGGGAACACAAAAUACAUUGCUUAUGUAAUGACUAACUUAGGAAAUCAGCAAAUGCUUGAGUGAACAUCACAGCAAGUAUAAAUGCAAGCCUGAGUUUGUAAUAAAUGCGUCUCUCAAUAUCUUAAA